rnacentral:lncRNA from 1 species
UAAGGUAUACAGAACAGUAGGAUGCAAAUAAUCAUCCCCAUUGUACCACAAAUUGUUCCACUUCCUUCACGAUAUUUCUCCCUUCAAAAAUAUCCCCAAUUCACCAUCGUCGAAUAAAUUUGUAUAAGCUUUCUCCGAAGUAAGGUUACGAGCACUGGGUAGUGUGAAUUGAGCCAUUGGAACAUAUAAAUGUGGAAAGAAUUGAGAAAUUGAAACGAAGAAGAUGAUGAACAGUAAAAAAUGUUGAAUCCGUUCUGCUCGUGGGAUGCGAGUACAGAGAGCAAUGGAGCUAGCGGCGCGCGAGUUUAUCAGAACUGGGUUUUCUCAGAAUCCGAACUGGGUUGGCCGGAAUUUGGCUGGAAAUACAAAGAAUUUCGAAAGAGAAGAGAGAAAUGGAGGCUAGGGCUUCUAAUGUGUGGAAAGGUAAGGUAAAAAUAUUGUUUAUAUAAUGAAUACUUUGCUAGGAAAUAAUAAUAUUUUGUAGGUUACAAAGUUAAUGUUUUAACUUUCUACCUACCUAGUAAAUGCACACAAGUAUUUGAGUUUGAAUUUUAAACAAUAUGCAUACAAACACACUCACACGCACACACGCCUAGUAUAAGUUACGCGGCUCUUUCUAUAUACCAUUGUAAGAAAAUGUGUAUCAUAUACGUAUAAAAAUGGUGUUAAGGCAUUUUUGAGCAAAUAAAUAUGAUGAAUAGUGAUUAAAAUAUUAUAAGUCACUAAAAUUAUCUAGGUUGUCUCCUAGUAGCGCUACAUUUAACGUCUUAAGCUAGACAUUUUAAAUAAAUAUGUAUCACCCCCAAACAAUUUUAAGGUGUAUUAUUAAAUUGUUUAGGAAUUCAAUUAUCGAAAUACACCGGUAAAAUUAAUUUGAUGUCCUCUACAUCUCUAGUAGGAAAUUCUAAGUAGGGUUUUAAACGAUGUCCAUUUAUUUUGAAAAACGUGUCAUCCUUAGGAUUUUGUAUCUCAAUAGCUGAUAGAGGGGAAAAUUCCUUCUCUAAACAAAAGAUUGAUUUAUAAUGAAGUUCCUUUUUAUGCAUGUAUAUAUUGAUUAUCAAAGUAGACAAGUAACAAGCAAGGGUCGUACCCACCUCAAAUGUGAAGAUCUUAGCUCACACAAUAGAAAACAAUGGUUAAGAACCACCAAGGGAAUCACAAAUAAGAGAGAGAUAUGAUUCUACUUUCUACAGGCAAUAAUUAAAUAAGCUAACUUAAGAAGAUGGAUAGAGAUGUAAAGAAGAUCUUAUGAUGACAUAAGGGGAAAAGUUGGUAUCCACAAACUAAAUCAUGCAAACAUAACAUGUUAUUCUUUCAUGUUCAAUCUAUAACAAUUAAUUAGUCAUCUCUCAGCUAUUCCAAUUAAUCAUCAAUACCUAUAAUAAUUAAGUAGUCACCUCUCAGCUAUUCCACUCAAUUAAAACGAGAUUCUAUUACUAUUGACUAUGUCUUAUUAAUCGUCACCUCUCAGCUAUUCAAUCUAAUUAAUUCAACAUAUUAAUUCAUAAUCAAACUGUCACCUCUCAGCUAUUCAAUUUGAUAACAAAAAUGUUCCAAUAAAAGAUAUUGAUUCUAGAUAUAUGAUAGUCGCCUCUCAACUAUUCCAUCACAUAUCUCUAAUCAAUAUAAAUACAACCAUUAUAGCUAGGUCUCCCUAUACUCUAACAAUAGUAUUUUAAUAACAUGGAUAACAAUAACAUGCAAAUAAUCAUACUUACCUCAUACGCGAAUAGAAGUAAAUAAGCAUUAAGAACUUUGAAUCACAAUGAACAUUAAGAACAAAGAUGGUCCUUUUGCAUUAUCUAGAGUGCUUCAACCAUCCCCCUAAGGGAAUUUAGCUACUCAUCCUUGAUGAUGACACCAUGGAAUAAAUAAAUAAAUAACAAAACAUCAUAAGAGAAAAGUUAAUGGAUUGAUAUUGAUAAUAAUUGAGUUCAAUACAAAAGAAUAAGAUGAACUAUAUGAACUGCAUGAACUUCAACUAUCUAAACCCUAGCUACUACUUAUCUUAUAUAAAUAAUACAAAGCAUAAUACUUGCAUACAAAGACUUCUAAAUUAGGUCAAAUUUGUGGCUGCUGCUGUUGGAUUUGUAGAGGCAUUAUAUUUUUAGCAAAACCUAAUUAUCUUGGGCUUAAGUUGUAGCUUGGACCAAGACCUUCAAUUGGACAGCUCAUAGGCCCAAAUCAGAAUUCUGGAUCUUCUUGUAGAGCCGUUUUAAGAUUGGACUUUAAUAAAGGCCUAAAAUAGAAAUCCUGACUUGUGGGCUUCAAUAGGACCCGGUUUGGGCUGAGAUUUGGACCGCCCCACUUUGAAUAAAGUCAAGUCAACAGGACCAGUCGUGGGGUGUCCUCAGCAAAUUUGUGGGUGCAAAUAUCAAUUCUCCUUCCCUUGUGCAAAUAACACCUUUUUGGUGGUUUUUCUUGACUUUUGGCGGGCUUUAAUACAAUAUUCGCAUUUCGGCUCAUGAAACCUACACAAAUGACAAGAAAACACUAAUCAAUAGAUAUAACACAAUAAUAUAAGCUAAGUGCUAUACAAACAAAGUGUUAUUCGAGGGAUAAAUAUACACUUUUGAGGAGUUAUCAAUAUCCCAAUUUUGUAAAAUAUCUGUAACCAUAAAAGGUCUUGUUCACCUUGUGUUAAGCUUUCCAGGAUGUAAAUGAAAUCGACUUCUAUACAAAAGUACUCAUUGACUUAUAAAAAAAUCUUUUCUAAGUAUCUUUGAGUCAUGAAUUUUUUAGUCUUAAUUUUAUAAUCUUUCACAAGAUCAUAAGAAUCACUUCAUAAUUCCUCAAGUUCAUUGAGUGCUAGCUUUCUUUGUUCACUGGCUUCAUCUAAAUUAAAAUUUAAUUUCUUUAAGGAGCAAUAAGCUUUAUGUUCAAGUUCUAUGGAUAAGUGACAAGGUUUCCAAAGACAAACCUAUAAGGUGACAUACCUAUAGGUGUUUUAAAGGCGGUUUUAUAAGCCCAAAGAGAUUCUAAAAUACGAUCACUUCAAUCUUUCUUAUCGGGGUCUACCAUAUUUUUCUAAUAUUCUUUUAAUUUCUCUAUUUGAGACUACUACUUGACCCGAAGUUUGUGGAUGAUAAGGUGUGGUUAUUCUAUGUGUUACACCAUAUUUUUCACAAAGGGUUUCAAAAGACUUGUUACAAGUGACUUCCUUGGUCACUUAUGAUAGCAUUGGGGACACCAAAGCGGGAAAAUAUAUUUUUCCUAAGGAAUCGUCUAACUACUCAUUUGUUAUUCUUUUUAGUAUGAAUGACUUCUAUCCAUUUGGACACAUAAUCAAUGGCUACUAGUAUGUAAAGAAAACCAUUAGAGUUAAGGGAUGGACCCAUGAAAUCUAUACCCCAAACAUAAAAAAUGUCAAGUACCAAAAUGUAUUUUUGUGGCAUUAUGUUUCUUUUAGAAAUUCUUCUUAAUUGUUUCCAUCGAUGGAAAUUUUUACAAUAUAUAUUAGAAUCAUGAAAUAAAGUAGGCCAAUAAAAUCCACAUUGUAGUACCUUUAUGGCCGUUUUAUUUGCACUAAAGUGUCCACCACAUCCAUGAUCAUUUUCACCUAGAAAGGUGGUCGGCUACUACAUUUUCACAUCCUUUUUAAUCUUUUAUUUCUAAAGAAAAAUCUUUUAAGAGUAAUACCUACCUAAUUAGUCUUUGUUUUGUUUCUUUUUUAGAAAGAAGAUGUCUAAGAGCGACAUAUUUCGUGAAGAUAGUAGUUUGGGAACCUAUUAGGUACGGUCUAAACUUUUCAAGGGCAAAAACUACGGCUAGCAUUUCUUUUUCGGUUGUUGUAUAAUUACGUUGAGCAUCAUUUAAAGUUUUACUAACAUAGUAUAUAACACUUGGUUUAUUAUCUUUUCGUUGUCCUAAAACCGCACCAACGGCAGAGUCCGAGACAUCAAACAUUAGCUCAAAGGGAAAAGACCAAUCCAUAGGUUGGAUUAUGGGAGCGGUGGUCAAGGUGGUUUUUAGUUGAUUAAAAGUCGACACACAUUCUUCAUUAAAUUCAAUUGUUGUAUCUUUAGUUAAUAGUUUUAUAAGUAGUCAGACAAUUUUAGAAAAAUCUUCAAUAAACCUUUGAUAAAAACCAGCAUGGGAUAUAAAUGCUCUAAUGUCUCUUAUGUUUUUUGGAAUAGGAAGGGAGAAUAUAAUUGAGAGUUUAGCUUCAUCUACUUCUAUUCCUUUAGGAGUUAUAACAUGGCCAAGAACUAUUCAUUUAUUAACCAUAUAUAAAAUAGCAUUUUUCCCAAUUUAACACUAAGUUAUUUUUUUCACAUCUUAUUAAGAUUUUUUCUAGGUUUUCUGAACAUUUGUCGAAUGAUUCACCAUAAAUGGAGAAAUCGUCCAUAAAUACUUCCAUAAAUUUUUCUACCAUGUCACUAAAUAUGUGUAGCAUACACAUUUGAAAGGAGGCGGGUGCAUUAAAAAGUCCAAAGGGCAUUCUCUUAUAAGCAAAUGUUCCAAAAGGGCAUGUAAAGGUUGUCUUUUCUUGGUCCUCGGGAGCUAUAAGGAUUUUAUUAUAACCCGAGAAACCAUCUAAGAAACAAUAAUAGGAAUGACUGGCUAGCCUUUCUAACAUUUGAUCCAUAAAGGGAAGAGGAAAAUGAUCUUUUCUCCUGACCUUAUUUAGACGCCUAUAAUCGAUACACACUCUUCAUUUAGUAGGUAUUCUAGGUGUUAUUAAUUUAUCUUCUAUAUCUUUUCAAACCAUGAAACCGGCCUUUUAAGACACUACAUGUAUAGGACUUACCCAUUUACUAUCGGAGAUAGGAUAGAUAAUACCCGCGUCUAGUAAUUUAAGAAUUUCAUUCCGUAGUACUUCUUGCAUUAUAGGAUUUAGACGUCUUUGGGGUUCUCUAGAUAUUUUAGCAUUUUCUUUUAAAUAUAUACGAUGAGAGCAAACCUCAAGAUCAAUACCCUUAAUAUCAUCCAAGGUCGAUGAGAUAAUUAUUGGGUGUGUACCAUUCUCAAAUAAAUGAACAUAUUUAAGAUCGGAAGGUAAAGAUUUUAUCUUGACAUAUAUUUUCCGUAAUCAUUUCUUCUAGAUCAUAAACUUCCUCAACUUGAGAUGUGUCACUAGGUUGAUUCAUUAAUUUAAAAAUAUUGACUUCAUUUUUAAGUUUUCAAAUGUUAACAACAUAUAACCGUUUCUACAAUUCAUUAAGGCAUUGGCGGUAGCUAGGAAUGGUCUACUUAAAAUGAUUGGUAUAGAAACAUCUAUUGAGUGUUGAGUAUCUAAUAUGACAAAAUCCAUUGGGUAAAAAAAAUCGGGAACCUUAACCAAAACAUCCUCAACAACUCCACGUGUGGUUUUGACAGACCUAUCAGCUAGUUGAAGUGUCAUACGAGUAGGCUUAAUUUUCUUUAAUCUGAGUUUUUGUUAAAAAUAAUAUGGAGUAAGUUAACACUAGCUCCUAAAUCUAAAAGGUACCUUGAAAACCAUCGCCUAGUGUACAAUUAAUCGUAGGUUUACCAGGAUCUUUAUAUUUUACUACUCCAUUUUAUUGAACAAAAGAAGGUAUUUGCUCGGUGAAAAAUGCAUCUUUAGGAACAUUAGUUUUUCUUUUUAUAGUACAAAGUCCUUUAAGAAACUUAGCAUGUUGAGGCAUAUUUCUAAGAGCGGUGAGAAAAGGUAUAUUAAUAGUAAGAUUUUAAAAAAUUUCCUUAAUCUCAUUAAAUUGUUCUUCCUUUUGAGGACCUAAAAACCUAUGUGGAUAGGGUACUUUAGGUAUAUAUCUCCUAACUUCUUCUUCUUUAUCAUUGUUUUACUUAAAGAAGCUACAUUUUUAUCAUUAGGAGUAGAAAUUUUAUCCUUAGAUAUUUCACUAGAAGUAGGUUUAUCAAUAUUAAGAGGUUGACUAUCUAGACUCGAAUCAUGAGGAAAGACAACAUUAGUAUUUGUUGAUGUAGAAUUAUUAGUUUGAACUAAGUCAUGUUUGGGAGGCAUUACUACUUUAUUAUCAUAUUCUUUUCUAGAGCGUAAAGUAGUUAUGACCUUAGCUUCCUCUCUAUGAAUUACGUUAUCCUUAGCUGAGACUUCAAAAACUUUUUGGUUUUGUUUAGAGUUGACAAUAGGUUGGCCCGGGAAUUUUUCUUUUCCAAGUUCGGCAUCUGUUUUAGCAACUUUUUGUUCAAGUCUUUCAAUGAUUUUCUUUUGCUUAUCUUGUUGAUAUAGAAAUUUUCAUUAAAAGAGUUUCAUAACUAGACUUGGGUUGCUCAUUAUUUUGUUGAUUUUGAACCGGAGGCGCAUUAUUAGCAUUUCGCAUUUAAUUUUCAUAGUUUUGAAAAUUAAUGUUUUGCGACACAAACUUAUUAGGACCUUGAUUUCUACCAUUUUGGUUUCCAUAAUACGGUCUAGUGUUUUGAUUGAAAGAUUUAGGUUCACUAGGAUUUUUUCAUCCAAAAUCGGGAUGGUCACCAUAUCUAAGAUAAAAAUUAGGGUCAUGAUAAUUAGAAUUAGUUUUAUUUUCCCAAAUACUGUUAGCUUGAUCUUGUUCAUAAGGAACAAAAGGACAUGUAUUUUCAAUAUGAUCGGUUUCAGAACAAGUUUGACAUACUUUAUUAACAUUCAUUAUGGGAUUUGGUUGGUUAGUUUGGAUUGAGAGAGCAUCUACCUUUUUAACUAGAUUGUUAAUUAAGGUUUUAACUUCUCCGUCUUCUUCUAUUCUAGCCGAGGGUUUAACUUCGUAGACUCUGGGAAUAGGAUUUGGAUUAUUUUCCCAAUGUUGAGAAUUAUCGGCUCUCAAUAAAAAAUCAUUGGUUUGGGUUGCGAUUUUAUUAAGGAAUGUACCACCAUUUAUAGAUUAUAUCAUAGCACGGGUGGUGGUAUUAAGACCAUUGUAAAAACAUUGAAGUAAAGUUUCCAUAGAGAUUUGAUGAUGUGGGCAUUGUAAUUGUAAUUCUCCAAAUUUUUCCCAAGCUUCAAAAAAUUCUUCAUUAAGUUUUUGCCUAAAAGUUUGAAUUCUAUUCCUUAUUUCUAUGGUUCGGGACAUAGAAUAAAAUUUUAUAAGAAAUUUUGAAUUUAAUUGGUCCCAUCUUCUAAUAGAGUUUCUGGCUAAAGAAUGUAACCAUUGAAACGCUUUAAUUAUCAUUUAGAGAGAAAGAGAAUAACCUUAAAUGAAUACCAUCUAUGCCUAAUUUAUUUUCAUUAAGAGUUGAGCAUAUUUGGACAAAUUUAUGUAAGUGACGAUAAGAAUCUUCUCUCUCAUAACCGAAGAAUUUUGGCAACAUGUUAAUGAUGCCAUAGUGAAUUUUGAAAUCGGUUCCAUCAUCUAAGUCGAGCAAAACAAUGCAAUUAGAGUCUGGUCGUAAGAGGCACAAAGAGUUCGUGCAAUGGUUUUUCGGGUAAAGCCAUUUCUAGCAAUUCUAUAGGAUUAUCUAAAUCUAAAUAGGAAUCAAAAGAGCUAUUAACUAAACUUAAAAGACUAUUAUCUAAAUUAAAAUCUAUUGGACAAUUAUCUAAAACUACCGUACUAACUUGUAAAUAAUUUUUAAUUACGGGUGUAUAUAUUACCGGAUCUUAAUAGCAUAAACUAACUACGACACGUAAAUUAUAACUAUUCUAACUACUCUAACUAUACUAACAGCAAGCAAGUAAACACACAAAUCACACACUUCAAGCAAUCCAAGUGAAUUAAUCCUCUUACAGGAGAUUCGAGGAUGAUAAGAAUGAACGUACAUUUGUCCCUCGAACUACGCGUUGCAAGCAAUAUAAUUCAAAAGCUACUGAUAUAGUAAUUAAAUAUACUUAAAGGGAUAAGAAAAUGUGUACCUUGUCACUUGAAAAUUAAAAAUUACGCUAAUUUUUAUUCCCAGAAAUUCCUGGCAGAUCUUCCCUGGUCGUGUCCCGCUAGUCAGCAGGCAAAACUCACUCGCGUGCAGCUAGUUCCUUUUUCCGUCUGGGUCGCGCGGCGCUAGUGAAUCAUCCGGCAGACUUUUCUGACAACUUUUCUAAUUUUCUCUGACGUGUUUAAUGGACUUUUAUGGGUGGGUGGAUAUGUGGGUAUAUUUGUGAAUAUGCAUCGUCACAACCUAUGUUCUCCUUAGAGCGCAAUAGCGCCAAUUUGAUAUUGUGAUAAAAGUAUAUUCUACCCUAAUAUCGAAUAUUUUUCUUUUGUAUGUGCAAAGAACUAGACUAAUUACUAAAACUAGUAAAGUGACAAGCACCAGUAUCAAUCCGUACUCUUACAUUAAUGUAACAAUACAAACUAAGAAAUACCUACAAUGAUAAUGAUGUCGUUUUGAUAAAAAGGGAAUAAUGAUAGGAUUGUUUUGAAAUAGGUUUUGUUUGGAGAUUUUGAUUAUAAAUAUAACUAAUUAAUUAAAUAAAACUAAACUAAUUGAAAGCAAGUAAAUUUAGGGUUUGUGAAUAUGAGUACAAAUAUGGGGAUCACUUCACCAUCCUAGACAAACUUAUAACUUUUUUUUCUAUGUAUUCAAUUCCAUGCAACUAAUUAUCUCUAUUUCUUUGCCAUAGUUAGUAGUGGGUUCUCUCUCUCUCGAUGCCAAAAGUCCAAGACUCACUCACCUUAAGCUACACUAAAGUCUUUGCGGAGAAUUAUGAAUAAACCUAAGGGCCUCGAAACACAAAACAAUGAGCCUCAACCUACCCCUCGGUAUAGUUGAUAGACAGUAAAGCCUUAUAUUUCAACAAAAGAUAUAGAAUUAACUUAUUUUCUUUCUCUCGAUGCCAAAAUAAGCUAACUAAACACAUGAGGUAUUGAAAAUUCCCUAUAUGUUAAAAGAUCAUUAUUUUAUUAUAAUUAAGAACAGGAGUAAAAUUAUCCUAAGGUGAUCAAUCCUAAAAUAAUACCUUUUCAUGCAUGAGAAUCAAAUAAAUAUCAAAAAAUCACAAAUUCAUCAAGUAGGCUAGUUAACCCCAUGUGGAUAUUAGUUGAACAUGAACAUGGAUGAUGAUGACAUGGUGGUAGAGAAAAGUAGACAUGAUUAUACUAGUAAAAGUAAAUACGAAAGGAUAAAUUGCAUAUAUUGACUAAAAAUAUUAUAGUAAUACCAUAAACAUAAAGAACCUUCUUUUUAUUUUUAAUGAAACUAUAUCUAUGGUUUGACACUUUGUUUGUGAGACAAAGCAUGCUCCAAGACAUUACUUAUAUACAUAUAGAGUUAGAGUUUAACUGAAAUACUUCAUUAAGGGGUGAAAACUUGUCUUUAGGGCUUUCUUGACGUAGGGUUGACUAAUUAACUUGUAAAUUUUCAGUUUAGACCCUCAACAUGGUUGGAAUGGACUGCAAUUAGGCCUUGGACGAAAUUCCAACCUUGGAUUUUGACUUGUCUAUCUUGCCGUCUACGAAACUGCAUCUGUCAGAUUUUCA